rnacentral:rRNA from 1 species
GUGGGGAAUAUUGGACAAUGGGCGCAAGCCUGAUCCAGCCAUGCCGCGUGAGUGAUGAAGGCCUUAGGGUUGUAAAGCUCUUUUGUCCGGGAAGAUAAUGACUGUACCGGAAGAAUAAGCCCCGGCUAACUUCGUGCCAGCAGCCGCGGUAAUACGAAGGGGGCUAGCGUUGCUCGGAAUCACUGGGCGUAAAGGGCGCGUAGGCGGACUCUUAAGUCGGGGGUGAAAGCCCAGGGCUCAACCCUGGAAUAGCCUUCGAUACUGAGAGUCUUGAGUUCGGGAGAGGUUGGUGGAAUUGCGAGUGUAGAGGUGAAAUUCGUAGAUAUUCGCAAGAACACCAGUGGCGAAGGCGGCCAACUGGUCCGAUACUGACGCUGAGGCGCGAAAGCGUGGGGAGCAAACAGGAUUAGAAACCCUAGUAGUCC